AAAACUCAAGAGAAUCUCCUCAAAAUCUAAUAAACAUGGAGGAGUGCCGAAGGUGUACGCAGUAUAAUGAUGUUAUGCUGUUAAUCUCUCAGGCAAAAGGACGGAGGGAA
rnacentral:ncRNA from 1 species